rnacentral:rRNA from 1 species
AUGGACAAACUGUCGGGGUCGGGGAAGAAGGCUCGACUCAAAGGCUCCGCCGUGGUCCUCAGCCGAAAGGUGCUCGACGCCAACGACCUCACUGCCACCGUCGUCGACAACAUCCACGAGAUCCUCGGCAACAGCAUUACCUGCCAGCUCGUCAGCGCCACCGUCACUGAUCCAAACAAUGGCGGCAGGGGCAUCGUGGGGUCAGAAGCGGCCCUGCAGCAGUGGCUGGCCAACCUGCCGUCCCUGACCUGCACGGGGGAGUGCAAGUUCAAGGUGAGGUUCGACUGGGAGGUGAAGAAGCAGGGCGUGCCCGGUGCCAUCAUCGUCAAGAACAACCACAGCACCAAGUUCUUCCUCAAGACCCUCACCCUCGACCACGUCCCCGGCCGCGGCACCAUCGUCUUCCUUGCCAACUCCUGGGUCUACCCCACCACCAAGUACCACUGCAACCGCGUCUUCUUUGCCAACGACUCCUACUUGCCGAGCGAGAUGCCGGAGGGGCUGAGGCCGUACCGCGAGGACGAGCUCCGGUGCCUGAGAGGGGACGACAAGCAAGGGCCGUACCAGACGCACGACCGCAUCUACCGCUAUGCCGUCUACAACGACCUCGGCGAGCCAGACCGGGACGGUGGUGGCAGCGCCCGUCCGGUCCUGGGCGGCUCCUCGGAGCACCCUUACCCACGGCGCGGCCGCACGGGCCGGAGCCCGUCAAAGAAGGACCCAAGAUCGGAGAGCAGGCUGACCCUGCUGGAGCAGACGUACGUGCCGAGCGACGAGCGGUUCGCGCACCUCAAGAUGGCGGACUUCGCCGGGUACUCGCUCAAGGCCAUCGUGCAGGGCGGCGGCCUGAAGCUUCCCAACAUCCCGGCGCUCAACGAGCUGCGCAAGAGCUUCCCCAUACAGCUCAUCAAGGAGCUGCUGCCGGUCGGCGGCGACUACAUGCUCAAGCUCCCCAAGCCAGACAUCAUCAAAGAGAACGAGUCUGCCUGGAGGACGGACGAGGAGUUCGCCAGAGAGAUCCUCGCCGGCGUGAACCCCGUAUCCAUCACGCGUCUCACGGAGUUCCCUCCGAAAAGCAGCCUUGAUCCUAGCAAGUACAGCGACCAGACCAGCACAAUAACUGCACAUCACAUUGAGAAGAGCCUAGAAGGCCUCAGCGUUCAACAGGCAUUGGAUGGCAAGAAGCUCUACAUCCUUGACCACCACGACCAUUUCAUGCCGUUCCUGCUGGACAUCAACAGCCUCGACGGUGUCCACGCCUACGCCACCAGGACCCUCCUCUUCCUCCGAGGUGACGACACCCUCAAGCCGCUGGCCAUCGAGCUGCUGGCACCAGCUCGUCAGCCACUGCUCAGCGUGGUGCAUCCGCUGUUCAAGCUCCUCCAGCCGCACUACCGGGACACCAUGACCAUCAACGCCCUGGCGCGCCAGACGCUCAUCAACGCCGGCGGCAUUUUCGAGCAGACUGUCUUCAUGGGCAAGCACUCGCUGGCCAUCUCCUCCGUGGUUUACAAGGACUGGAACUUCACCGACCAGGCCCUGCCAGACGAUCUCAUCAAGAGUAGUGCAACGUCGCCUCUUGAAGAGCCGACAGUAACAAGAACUGCAAAUUGUGUACCAACACUAUCAGGUGAGAACACCAAUCCAAGAAAUGAGGCGUGGCCGUGGAGGACCCGUCGCUCCCCGGCAAGGUGCGGCUGCUGCUCAAGGACUACCCCCUACCCCACCGACGGCCUGGCCAUCUGGCAGGCCAUCGAGGAGUGGGUCACAGACUACUGCGCCAUCUACUACAAGGAUGAAAAGGCCGUCAAGGGCGACGAGGAGCUGCAGGCGUGGUGGAAGGAGGUGCGCGAGGUCGGGCACAGUGACCUCAAGGACGCCGCCUGGUGGCCGGCGAUGCAGACCGUGGCGGAGCUCACCAAGGCAUGCGCCACCAUCGUGUGGAUCGCGUCGGCGCUCCACGCGGCCGUCAACUUCGGGCAGUACUCAUACGCGGGCUACGUCCCGAACCGGCCGACGGUGAGCCGCCGGGCGAUGCCGGACCCGGGGUCGGAGGAGUACGCGGAGUUGGAGCGCGAGCCGGAGCGCUUCUUCAUCCGCACCAUCACCAGCCAGCUGCAGACCCUGCUGGGCAUCUCGCUGCUGGAGAUCCUGUCCAAGCACUCAUCCGACGAGAUAUACCUCGGGCAGCGGGACACGCCGACGUGGACGUCGGACGCGGAGGCGGUGGGGGCGUUCGGGCGGCUCGGCGAGAACCUGGUGCGGAUCGAGAGCGAGGUGGUGGGCAGGAACAGCGACCCCUUGCUCAAGAACCGGAUCGGCCGGCCAACUUCCCCUACACGCUGCUGUACCCCAACACGUCGGACGACAAGGGCACGGCCGCCGGGAUCACCGCCAAGGGCAUCCCCAACAGCAUCUCCAUAUGAUAAUACUCUGUGA